UCCUCGGUACAGUGGUGAGUAUCUCCGCCUGUCACGUGGAGGACCCGGGUUCGAUUCCCGGCCGGGGAG
rnacentral:tRNA from 1 species